rnacentral:rRNA from 1 species
CAGUAGCCGCGGUAAUACAGAGGGUGCGAGCGUUAAUCGGAAUUACUGGGCGUAAAGCGCGCGUAGGUGGUUUGUUAAGUUGGAUGUGAAAUCCCCGGGCUCAACCUGGGAACUGCAUCCAAAACUGGCAAGCUAGAGUACGGUAGAGGGUGGUGGAAUUUCCUGUGUAGCGGUGAAAUGCGUAGAUAUAGGAAGGAACACCAGUGGCGAAGGCGACCACCUGGACUGAUACUGACACUGAGGUGCGAAAGCGUGGGGAGCAAACAGGAUUAGAUACCCCUGUAGUCCCUGUCUCUUAUAC